AUUGAACGCUGGCGGCAGGCCUAACACAUGCAAGUCGAGCGGUAACACAGGGAGCUUGCUCCUGGGUGACGAGCGGCGGACGGGUGAGUAAUGUCUGGGAAACUGCCUGAUGGAGGGGGAUAACUACUGGAAACGGUAGCUAAUACCGCAUAACGUCGCAAGAUCAAAGAGGGGGACCUUCGGGCCUCUUGCCAUCAGAUGUGCCCAGAUGGGAUUAGCUAGUAGGUGGGGUAACGGCUCACCUAGGCGACGAUCCCUAGCUGGUCUGAGAGGAUGACCAGCCACACUGGAACUGAGACACGGUCCAGACUCCUACGGGAGGCAGCGGUGGGGAAUAUUGCACAAUGGGCGCAAGCCUGAUGCAGCCAUGCCGCGUGUAUGAAGAAGGCCUUCGGGUUGUAAAGUACUUUCAGCGGGGAGGAAGGCGUUGUGGUUAAUAACCACAGCGAUUGACGUUACCCGCAGAAGAAGCACCGGCUAACUCCGUGCCAGCAGCCGCAGUAA
rnacentral:rRNA from 1 species